AUUGAACGCUGGCGGCAGGCCUAACACAUGCAAGUCGAACGAGUGGCUGACGGGUGAGUAAUGUCUGGGAAACUGCCUGAUGGAGGGGGAUAACUACUGGAAACGGUAGCUAAUACCGCAUACCAUCAGAUGUGCCCAGAUGGGAUUAGCUUGUUGGUGGGGUAACGGCUCACCAAGGCCACGAUCCCUAGCUGGUCUGAGAGGAUGACGAGCCAAACUGGAACUGGGUAACGGUCCAGACUCCUACGGGAGGCAGGAGAGAGGAAUAUUGCACAAUGGGAGUAAGCCUGGUGCAGCCAUGCCGCGUGUAUGAAGAAGGCGCUCGGGUUGUAAAGUACUUUCAGCGGGGAGGCGUUACCCGCAGAAGAAGCACCGGCUAACACCGUGACAGCAGCCGCGGUAAUUCC
rnacentral:rRNA from 1 species